CAGUCGCCGCGGUAAUACGGAGGGUGCGAGCGUUAAUCGGAAUUACUGGGCGUAAAGGGUGCGUAGGUGGUUUGAUAAGUUAUCUGUGAAAUCCCUGGGCUUAACCUGGGCAGGUCAGAUAAGACUGUUGGACUCGAGUAUAGGAGAGGGUAGUGGAAUUUCCGGUGUAGCGGUGAAAUGCGUAGAGAUCGGAAGGAACACCAGUGGCGAAGGCGGCUACCUGGCCUGAUACUGACACUGAGGCACGAAAGCGUGGGGAGCAAACAGGAUUAGAUACCCGCGUAGUCCCUGUCUCUUAUAC
rnacentral:rRNA from 1 species